rnacentral:lncRNA from 1 species
UAUCGAGUAGUUUCAUAAACACGCGAUAUUAACAAAACCCGGUAGUUGGAUUUUAUUUAAAAAAAAAAUGCAAUACAAUAUUACAGAUAUAGAAAUUCCAAGACAAGAAUUAUUGCUUCUGUUUAUACUUCACUUUACAAACCCCUAUUUUUCUAUCUAUCUACCAACACUUAAAAAAAAAAAAAAAAGGAAUAGUGUAUGUGUGUGAAAAAAAUCUGCAGCUAUCCCUUAAGCAUGCUCAGCCAUCUAUUCUGGACAUUUUUUUGACUCCAGCUCCACGCCUAUGUAAUAUUCUUCUUUGACUCCAGCUCCAGCAGCAUAUUUGCAAAAUUUUCACACCCGAACACCUUCAUUUGGUUUCAGAUUUCAGCAGCUAUUAAUC